rnacentral:siRNA from 1 species
UUGGUCAUCGCGCUUGGUUGA